UUUCUCACUUUAUUCCCGUUGUCGAAAGACCGGGGAAGAUAAGCAAGAAGUCUUUGAGCGAAGAAGUUGUCCUUGGAUAAGUGCGAGAAUAUACCUUUCAAAGUCAGUCCCUCAGGUCGGUACUUCCAUGGCCAUGGUAGCCACGUGUCAUUACCCCCAUUGGCAUAGCUAGACGAUCUUCACUCUCUCGAUCCCUUUGAAAACCAUUUGCCUAUCUAUUUGAUCUGACCAGGUAAAUCGACCUAUCCCCCAGCGUACCGGAGCUUUUCUACCCGCGGAAGAUCUUUUUUCUCUUUUUCAAAUGAUCGAUUCAUUCCUCAAUCGCAGCAGGCAGACCUUCUUAAUAAUAGAUCAUUUCAAGCCCUUCUACGCCUAUCUUCCCCUCUGCGUCUUGAACAGAAGCUCAAGUGCACGAAGACCCUCUUACUUAAGCAGGUGCUAUCACUUAAGAAAAUCUCCGGGUCAUUCUUCAAGACUACCACCUUCCUUCUCUUCGGGCAUUGGAAGAUGAAUCAACUCCAUAUAAGCUGGAUGACCCGGGCCUUCUUUGUGGCUUGGNN
rnacentral:lncRNA from 1 species